rfam:Ipomoea nil DNA, scaffold: scaffold1892, cultivar: Tokyo-kokei standard.
GUCGUUGUAGUAUAGUGGUGAGUAUCCCCGCCUGUCACGCGGGAGACCCGGGUUCGAUCCCCGGCAACGGCG